GGAGUUUGUGGUCCUGAGUUGCACAGUUGUGGGAAACAAAACAACUCUGCCCCAACGCCGCACUAGGACCCCACUUCCUGUGGACUCGGGGACAUCACAGGUGACCCUGAGCCAGGGACGGGAAGGAACGGGCACUGUGAGCUGCAGGCAGCAGACAGCUGCUCUGUCCUCAAGUGCGUCCUCUCCUGUUGUCGGCCACAUUCUUGCAACAGCUCAGGAGGAAGACUGUCGGCUGCCCUUGCGGUGUGGAGCAAACUCUCCCGCAGGUUAUCCGGGGCCACGCCCAGGGCCUCACGAGAGCUGGGAGAAUGUAUACAUUCAUCGGUUGUGGCAUGUUCACGCACUGGAGUACUACACAGCAAGCAAAAAGAAGGAGCAGCUCAUAAAUGCAACAUGGAAAAUCUCAAGAGAAGUUUGAAUGGAGGAAGCCCGAUGGGAAACACGAGUCCUUUCAUGUGCAGUUCGAGAAAGGCACUACUUCGUGGAGAUAGAAAUCACAGUCCAAGGGGUGGUGUCUCGGCAUGUGAUUAUAGUCCCAGCUACUCAAGAGGCUGAGGCAGGGAGAUAGCAAGGCCAAGGUCAGCCUGAACAGCUUACAGACUUUGUCUCAAAAUCAGAAAUAAAAAGGGCUGGAGAUGUAGCUGAGCCCUCCCUGGGUUCAAUCCCCAGUGCUGAAGAAAGACCCAAGAAAUCAGAGCCGGGUGCCUGUGCAGUGGGGAUGACAGCACAGGGACGGGGCUUCGUGGGGGACGGGAAGCUCUGGUCGGAUGGGGAGUGUGGUUAUUUAUCAAGCCCCAGAUUGCACCCUUGACCUCCACACAUUCCAUCCAUCUCCGCGGUUCAAAAGUGACUGCAGUUUGCCAGACCCAGCUCCAGGUGCCGGGCGGGAGGGAGGAGUGGAGUGGGGCUCAGGCUUGGUCAGCAGCUCGGACAGUGCAGAGCAGAAGCGGUGGGAUCGUCCAGGCUUUGUGCAGGCUCGGGGUCCAUCUGGGAAGCUUUUCUCUCUGCCAUGGUGCAGCUGAAAUUUUCCAGAAUGAACAGGUUUUCAAAAAUCAAACGCAAAAGCGAGUUGCACCCGUAAUGUGGAAAAAGCAAAGUAGUUCCACAAAAUGGAAGCCAGCAAGGGAGUUCCUGUCACCACCGCUAUAGAGCAGGGAUUAGAAAUGCUGUAUCAACUACUCAGGAAAAGCAGACGUGAGAGACAAGAGCGUAGCACACAAUCCAAAAAUACCCCGGCUGCCGAGCAUCCUGGUGCACACCUGUGACCCCAGUCCUCUGGGAGGCUGAGGCAGGAGGGUUGCAAGUUUGAGCCCAGCCCGGACAACCCAGCAGUCUAGUUAGAUCCUGCCUCAAAAUAGAAAGUAACAGGGAGGCAGCACGGUGGGAAGGCCUGGGCUCAAUCCCAGGCCCGCAAACAACAGCAGCAACAGCUGAACGGACAUUUUGUCAGACGAGACACAUGGGAAAUCAUCCCGAAGCGUCGCUUAUUAAUCGGCUAAUUAGAAUCCAGUCGCUCGAAAGGAAGGGCCCGGAGAGACUGGUGAGAGGAAACAGCUCCCGCAGCCCAAAGCUGGGGUGGACGCCGCGGGUGCAGCGCGCCAGGCACGCCAGGCACCACACCCUAAGUGGCUCCGCGGUCGACUCGGGCCCUGGCGUCCGUUACCGCGACGACUCCGUGUUCGCGCGCGCGUGCUCGUGAGAGGCUCCAUCGGGUGGGGGCUGGCCCGGGGUCAGCGGCGGGGAGCGGCAGGGCCCGCUUCGGCCGAAAUACUUGGCGACUUCCCUUGGGUUUUCGACGUGGCUGUUCCGUGCGGCAAAGCUGCAGAGCCCCCCGACCCGUGCUGCUCACAGCCCUUGCUGUUUUAUCUGCAGUCGGCGCAAUGGGCAAAGCCUUCGUCAAUGUGUGAUUUCACUUAGAAAUCGACUCCUUUUAACAUUUAAAGGUACACGUGUAAUUUAACACGUAAUUUUACUUUUAAUACUGUACCAUGGCCACCUUUCUGAGGGCCUCGGUAACUCUUAAAUCGAAUAAAUUAAACCCAUAAACAUGAUGAGUCUCAAGCCCCGUUCAAACUUGUGUGUAAACUUAACCAGUCUUCAACACAAAUAUUACAUCGGUU
rnacentral:lncRNA from 1 species